GACGAACGCUGGCGGCGUGCUUAACACAUGCAAGUCGAACGGAAAGGCCCCUUUGGGGGUACUCGAGUGGCGAACGGGUGAGUAACACGUGAGUAACCUGCCCUUGACUUCGGGAUAACUUCAGGAAACUGGGGCUAAUACCGGAUAGGAAUCCUUGCUGCAUGGUGGGGGUUGGAAAGCUUCGGCGGUUUUGGAUGGACUCGCGGCUUAUCAGCUUGUUGGUGGGGUAGUGGCUUACCAAGGCUUUGACGGGUAGCCGGCCUGAGAGGGCGACCGGCCACAUUGGGACUGAGAUACGGCCCAGACUCUUACGGGAGGCAGCAGUGGGGAAUAUUGCACAAGGGGCGGAAGCCUGAUGCAGCAACGCCGCGGGCGGGAUGACGGCCUUCGGGUUGUAAACCGCUUUCAGCAGGGGCGAAGCUUGUGGUGACGGUACCUGCAGAAGAAGCACCGGCUAACUACGUG
rnacentral:rRNA from 1 species